CACGUAGGGCACCAAGCGUUGUCCGGAUUUUAUGGGCGUAAAGAGCUCGUAGGCGGUUUCAGUAAGUCGGGUGUGAAAACCUCUGGGCUUAACCCAGAGGACGCCACCCGAUACUGCUGUGACUUGAGUACGGUAGGGGGAGCAGGGAAUUUCCUGGUGUAGCGGUGAAAUGCGCAGAUAUCAGGAGGAACACCGGUGGCGAAGGCGGGUCUCUGGGCAGUAACUGACGCUGAGGAGCGAAAGCGUGGGGAGCGAACAGG
rnacentral:rRNA from 1 species